rnacentral:rRNA from 1 species
UGGGGAAUUUUGGACAAUGGGGGCAACCCUGAUCCAGCCAUGCCGCGUGUGUGAAGAAGGCCUUCGGGUUGUAAAGCACUUUUGUCAGGAACGAAACGGUCUGCACUAAUACUGCGGACUAAUGACGGUACCUGAAGAAUAAGCACCGGCUAACUACGUGCCAGCAGCCGCGGUAAUACGUAGGGUGCAAGCGUUAAUCGGAAUUACUGGGCGUAAAGCGUGCGCAGGCGGUUGUGUAAGACAGAUGUGAAAUCCCCGGGCUUAACCUGGGAACUGCAUUUGUGACUGCACGGCUAGAGUGUGUCAGAGGGGGGUAGAAUUCCACGUGUAGCAGUGAAAUGCGUAGAGAUGUGGAGGAAUACCGAUGGCGAAGGCAGCCCCCUGGGAUAACACUGACGCU